GGGCGUGUGGUGUAGUGGUAUUACGUCUGCUUCGCAUGCAGAAGGCCCCAAGUUCAAAUCUCGGCACGUCCA
rnacentral:tRNA from 1 species